rnacentral:rRNA from 1 species
AGGAAUAUUGGUCAAUGGGCGAGAGCCUGAACCAGCCAAGUAGCGUGCAGGAUGACGGCCCUAUGGGUUGUAAACUGCUUUUAUAAGGGAAUAAAGUGAGCCUCGUGAGGCUUUUUGCAUGUACCUUAUGAAUAAGGACCGGCUAAUUCCGUGCCAGCAGCCGCGGUAAUACGGAAGGUCCGGGCGUUAUCCGGAUUUAUUGGGUUUAAAGGGAGCGUAGGCCGGAGAUUAAGCGUGUUGUGAAAUGUAGGCGCUCAACGUCUGCACUGCAGCGCGAACUGGUUUCCUUGAGUACGCACAAAGUGGGCGGAAUUCGUGGUGUAGCGGUGAAAUGCUUAGAUAUCACGAAGAACUCCGAUUGCGAAGGCAGCUCACUGGAGCGCAACUGACGCUGAAGCUCGAAAGUGCGGGUAUCGAACAGGAUUAGAUACCCUGGUAGUCCGCACGGUAAACGAUGGAUGCCCGCUGUUGGUCUGAACAGGUCAGCGGCCAAGCGAAAGCAUUAAGCAUCCCACCUGGGGAGUACGCCGGCAACGGUGAAACUCAAAGGAAUUGACGGGGGCCCGCACAAGCGGAGGAACAUGUGGUUUAAUUCGAUGAUACGCGAGGAACCUUACCCGGGCUUGAAUUGCAGAGGAAGGAUUUGGAGACAAUGACGCCCUUCGGGGCCUCUGUGAAGGUGCUGCAUGGUUGUCGUCAGCUCGUGCCGUGAGGUGUCGGCUUAAGUGCCAUAACGAGCGCAACCCCUCUCCUUAGUUGCCAUCAGGUUAAGCUGGGCACUCUGGGGACACUGCCACCGUAAGGUGUGAGGAAGGUGGGGAUGACGUCAAAUCAGCACGGCCCUUACGUCCGGGGCUACACACGUGUUACAAUGGCAGGUACAGAGAGACGGUCCCUUGCAAAAUGGAUCAAAUCCUUAAAGCCUGUCUCAGUUCGGACUGGGGUCUGCAACCCGACCCCACGAAGCUGGAUUCGCUAGUAAUCGCGCAUCAGCCAUGGCGCGGUGAAUACGUUCCCG